CAGCAGCCGCGGUAAUACAGAGGGUGCGAGCGUUAAUCGGAUUUACUGGGCGUAAAGCGUGCGUAGGCGGCUUCUUAAGUCGGAUGUGAAAUCCCUGAGCUUAACUUAGGAAUUGCAUUCGAUACUGGGAAGCUAGAGUAUGGGAGAGGAUGGUAGAAUUCCAGGUGUAGCGGUGAAAUGCGUAGAGAUCUGGAGGAAUACCGAUGGCGAAGGCAGCCAUCUGGCCUAAUACUGACGCUGAGGUACGAAAGCAUGGGGAGCAAACAGGAUUAGAUACCCGCGUAGUCCCUGUCUCAUAUAC
rnacentral:rRNA from 1 species